UACACUAUGGUGUACUUCUCAAAUUAGUUAACUGCCUCGUAUAAAUAAGAUUCACAAGUAGAUGCCAUACCAUCAACAUCUUCUUACAUAGCGAGGACAUCUAAACAAUUAUUCAGAGUUCAUUGAAGAACAUGAGUUCCAUGGAGGGAAGUGUACUGAAGUACCCAGAGCCUACCGAAGGGAGCAUCGGGGCUAGCAGUGCUAAAACAUCAUGGCCGGAGGUGGUCGGGAUGUCCGCCGAGAAGGCCAAAGAGAUCAUCCUUCGGGACAAGCCCAAUGCCCAGGUAGAGGUCAUCCCGGUCGAUGCGAUGGUCCACCUGAACUUCGAUCCCAACCGUGUCUUCGUUCUCGUUGCCGUCGCCAGGACCCCUACGGUUGGCUAACAAUAUUAUCGUGCAUGGAUAAUAAAUAACUAUGUAAUGGUGAAAUAAAGACAUGCCGAGUAUCAGCAUAUCAUGUAAGAACUUUCUGUAUGGUAUACUUAUAUUAUGGAGGAAUAAAGACAUGUUGAACAUCA